ensembl:lncRNA
UACAAGUUGUCUUUAUUAAAUUUCCCAGGAGUUUAGCGUCAUGUGGAUUUCAUAACGAGCCCACCGUUUAACGGCAGGAAGGACUCACCUGGACCAGGUGGAAGCUGAAUUAGUGAGGAUGACUCCUGCUCCUCUCAUCUCUAAGCUCCUCACACAUCUUUACCUGCACAUGAGGAAAAUCACUCCUGUAGAAUGCAGAUGUUCAGAGGGAGAUGAUGCCACAUCUGGUCCAGCUGAUGGAAGGUCUUGAAGUUCUCUGACUGGCCUCGACUGAAGAUGGUCGUCUCACUGGAUUUAAGGUUCAGAAGCUCAGUAACAAACUCUACCAAUGAGCCAACAGGGAAGCUUUAGGUUUAUUAAAUGUUGCUAUGAAGGUAUCGCUGUUUUUCUUUGUGAAUGCAAUGUGCUCCAACUGAAACUUGAAUUAGAACUUAGAAGUAAAUCCUUCCAUCUGAAAGGAUUUAGUUGCAUUAAUAACCUC